UGUGUAAUGGUGUUGGAGGAGCCUACCCAAACACGCCCUGCAAAUGCAAUAUCUCUGGCACCAUGUGUGAAGAUGCUAACAAACGAUAUGAAGGUAAACUUGAAAUAUGUUUCGUUUCAAUCUUACAAACAAAUGAGUUAACAUCUCACUUCAUGUCCGUAUGUAUCACGCACCGAAACAUAAACCCUAACCUUCACAUUGCUGCUGAAUUUCUAUCUAUAGAUGUUUGGAUAACGGAUAUGGAUCAAAAUAAGACUAUUGAAUGUGCUGAGGAUACGGGAUGAAAUCCUCGUGGAGGCAAAGGACCAAGCGGGAGAAUGAUAACUACAUUUGAAGAGGCAACAUCUUCAACGGUAUGUGUGAUUUCCUUUUUGAUAUUUACCAAAACGUUGAACCAUCUAAGGAAUAUUAUAGUGUUGUUGACUUAGUAAAAGGGUAAUAAGAAUUUUCACUGGUUCACUAAACUUAGUGGGUUAGUAGGAAAGUUAAGGUUGGUGGAUUCAUCUAUUGACCUUGAGAAUGAUGAUCUAAUGAAGGUUUUCCACUUAGGUCAAAGUACUACUUUUGGAAAGUGAUUUCAGCACACGCCUACACGCUCGGUUAUCACUAAUAUAUAGCAUAUAUAACAUAUGUAUAUAUAACAUAUGUUUCUAAUUUGUAACUAUAUUGGAUUGUAUGAAUGAUAUUACCAAUUGAUGUAUAGUCAUUUUACUUGAAAAUAUGAUUCAUGAAAAAUGAAAUAUAACAUAUUAUAUAAAAUUAAAAAAUAUUACAUAUUUUAUAUAAUUAAAAAAAAAUAUAUUAUAUAUACACAUGUAACCUUGGUUUUAAAAAGCGUGCCUGUGGCGCGAGGCGCACUCGCCCCAGCGCCUUAUGCAACCUGAGGCGCAGGCUGUACAGAAAGGUUAAUAUAUAAUCUCCUUGCGCCUCGCGUAUGUAAAGCCCGCUGCUUUUGCGCUUUGUGCCUAGGUUUUAGACCUCGUCACUUUUGUGCGCUUUGCGCCAUUUAAAACCAAGCGUAUAUCCAAAACCAAACUAUAAAAGCCGGUUCAUUACUGAACCAUUAUUUUCUCUAUUAGUUCAGUUAAUUUGGUUAUGGUUUAGUUAUUUGGUUUUUCUGCUCACCCCUAGCAUUAUUAUAUUCAUGACAAAAUCAUAGUUUUUCGAUGGUUGAGUCAUGAUCGCAUUAAUGCUAUUUAAUAUCUCCCAAUUCUCUAUAAAUGACCGGUGGUUGCUCCUACGUACAAAACCCUAAAAUCAAUGGCAGCAAAUGACCGAUCCCUGAUUGAGCUCCCAAAUCUCAAUCUGGAAGAUGUUCUUUCAAAGCUGCCAUUACUGUCUCUCAUUGCUUGUUGCGGUGUUUCCAAGUCCCUCUUGACUCUCAUUAAAAAUGAUUCAGAUUUUGCAAAAUCAGAACCCCAAUUAAUGAUUCAGAUUCAGAGUAUAUAACACAAUCGUGUAACGGAUACUGAUACUACUUCGCGAGUUGAAGUUAAGCCGUUAGAUGGUUUUUAUAUAACACAAUCGUGUAACGGAAUACUUCUUUUGGAGAGAAUGAGCAAAGCUACCGGUGUAUGCUAUACAAUCCUGUUACAACAGGUGAAUGCACACUGCUUCCUGAAAUUAAACAUGUUUAUAUAGACGCAACGUCUGUGUUUUUUUACUGCCCGAAAACAAAUCGGGUUGAAGUUGUCUGCGUCUUUCACUGUUUGAAUCCAGAUUCAGAUGUUUCAUCUGAUUCUGAUGAUCCUGCUACAGAACUGAUUCAGACUCUGAUUCGGAAAUGUUGAAUCCAGAAGAUGAUGUGAUGGGGGCGAUCUAUGUACUCAUGGGAGUCUCUUGGCAAAUUACCCUUUUCUCCUCUUAACAUUAUUUACCAUCCAUGCCACUUGGAAAAAGCUGUUCAUUGGUUAUGCGUGGACGGUACCGUUCCAUAUUUCAUAGUUUUCUUCAAUUUCGAGACCCGUGAAGUUGGGGAAAUUCCAGGCCCGGCCCAGGUGGUGCUGGCUCAUCCAUAUGCAAAUGAUUUUUUAACCUUGGUAACCGUCUUUCAAUUUUUGACCGUCUUACAGAAGCAACAAAGUUUAAUGUUUGGGUAAUGAAGGAAUACGGCGUGAAAGAUUCAUGGAGUAGAGAAUUACACCACUGUUUGGGGUGCGUACGACCUCCACUGGUGUUUUACGCCUGUGAAACAAUGGGGAAGUAGUGAUGGUUAGUUAGUAUAUUUGGUUAUAUUUUAUUUUAUGACUUGUUAACAAAGAAGGGUAGAAUCGUAAAUCAUCGGCGACUUUGGACUGCCUUGCCGCCGCAUACUCCUAGCUUAAUUUCAUUGAGGGAUGUUGUGAGAGGUACCAACUUGGAAGUGGUAAAUGUGGAACCAAGGGUUGCUGAUCCAGGGUUGAAUCUGGAGUUAGCAGCAACUUUCUCAGAGGUCGGACUACAAGUUGGACUGUUGCCUGCCGAUCCAACUAGUUGCUUGGCAGAUUAAUUCUAGUAUGAAACAAAUAAGGUUUUUAAUCAUGGUAUGUCAAAUUUAAAGUCGAAUGAGACCAAAAUAGACAAUGUAUAACCUUUUAUGUUGUGGUACUAGUUUAAUGUUAAAAUGUUUUUGAGGAAU